ACAGCCCUAUAAAUAGUCUUGCUCUUCCCUUGUUCGCUCUUUCACUGAGUUAAGACGUCUGUCGGAAGCGUUAUGGCUAUCAUUAUAAAACUAGGUUAUAUUUGGCAUCCGGACAGAAAAUACAAUACAUCCGUCAUAAAAUGAUAAACUACCUUUGGGGAUCUGUAAAUGAGGGUGAUUUUCGGUCUACAGAAGCGGCUGUAGGAAGUCCUUGAUGUGAAGCUGCCAUCACGUCGUCAGGACUUGGACGCUCAGUGAGGCAGUCUGGUUGGUCAAUCUGAGACCAUGUGACCUGCAUGGCCCUCUGGUUCCAUAGAUGGGAGGGGCUUCCCACUACAAUGGCUGCCCAUCCUGUGGUUUCUCUGGAGUGGUGUGUUUCAGAACCAGAAGGGGUGGUUACUACCCACAGCUGGUGUUAUCUAAUAUAUGUGCUAUGUAUCAAACUAAGCAUUGUAUGUGGGCUAAAUCUUGUAGUGAAUGUGGAGAUUGGCCAAGUUCAAGAGACUAGACUGUUUGGUUUAACCCUGGAUUGUAAACUGAAAUGGUACAUGUAAUUAUUUAACAGUAGCUGGGGGGUCCUGUCUAACACUGCUCUGGUUUCUUGAUAAUCAAUUAGUUUAGACCCUAGUUUUAGCACACCUGGGCUACAGUCCAAACACUUAAGAUGCACACUACCCCCUUCAGCCCUCAUUAAGUGGACACUUCUGAUAACCUAUAAUGAUAUCAAUGUUGCAAUUUAGCGAGUUGUGACAAUUUCUUGGUGUCUCUAAAUUGUUAAACUGAGAAGGUGUAACGGUAGCUGAGAUGGGGAGGGCUGUCUGCGAUAAAGCGCUGCUUUCCGAUCCACAAAACAAUUACUACAGGCUAGUUUUAUCACACCUGAAUUACUGCCCAGUUAUAUCCUAAAGUGCCACAAAGGACAGGCAAAUUGGUUGGCCCAGAAUGUGGAAGUACUGCUGGCCCUUAAAGGGAUACUUCAGUGUUUCUUUUUAAUGGGGCCUUUUAUUUACUUCUCCAGUCUGACGUCAUGGAUAUCCGUUAGGUCUGCAUCCAGUUUAAAGGAAGUAGCCAGCUAUUGCUUAUAGCGUUAGCAGAUACCACAGACAAUCUUCAUUUCGCUAACGCUGACUUACAAUUGUGCCAGUUAGCUACUUCAUUUCAAACUAGAUGCAGAGGCAUAAAUGGUAUUGAGGUCAUAUGACUCUGGAAGUAGACAAUAGAGCCCAGUUGUCAAAAACUUUAAUUUACAAUGUACUCGUCACCCCUCCCUCUGCUUGCCAUACCUGUAAACUCCCGAGUGGCGCACCUGUCUUAAGGUGCUGGAGACCUCACUGCAGACACCCUGGUUUGAAUCUAGGCUGUGUCACAACCGGCCAUGAUCGGUAAUCCCAUAGGGCGUCGUCCAGGUUUGGCCAGUGUAGGCAGUUGUUGUAAAUAAGAAUUUGUUCUUAACGGACUUAUUUACUUCAUUUAAAAAAAUACGUAUUUAAGUGUACCCUACAACUGGUGUCGCAACAGUAUGGUUGAUCUCCAGUGUAGAGACUGGUGUUUAGUUGUAAUAUUUUUAUGAUGUCAAUAAAGUUUUAUAACAUGUGUUCUA